UAUAUAUAUAUGAAUGAAUGCUCAUUGUUUUUCUCAUUUAUUUUCUAAAUUCAUGCGUCCUAUAUCACACCUCUGUUUCCUUUCUAAUUUAGGGCACCACCAUCAACAUGGUAUUGGGUUUCGUAAGUAAUCUUCUAAAUUUAUGUUUCCUUUUUAUAUAUUCGCAAUACAACAAUAUCCAUUAGAUUGGAAGGAGUCAUGUCAUGAUUUUAAAAAAGACACUCCGCAUAGGAUUUAGGUGUGGUUUGGGUUUGGUAAAACCAUGGGAUGGGUAUGGGGGAGAAGAAAAUAAGAAGAGAGAGAUAGAGGAGAGAUGGUAGGAGAAGAGAAAGAGAGAGACACCGGAGAGUAGAGAGAGAAACCACAACAAUUUCUUGCUGAAUGCGGCCAAACCACAUUGAAGACCACAGGACGGAGGCGGUGUUCCUUCUUGCUACCAUGACAAACCGUGUCCACUCCUUUGAAUCUUAAAAAUUAAAAUUUACAAGUUUAGCCACAUGAUAACAUUUGAAACCUUAUCAUAGUUCCUUAUUUCACGAUUAACAGAUUUGGACAUUCGUGUGUGUCCUUAUGUCAACCUUGUGUCCUUUUCACCAAAGCAAAUUUAUUAUAUAAAAAAAGGUAAAUGUCACAUAAAUCAUAAUAUUCCAUAAAAAAAUGAUAUUUAGGCUUAAACAUAUUUCACACAGGGCCGGUCCAAACGUAUAUGGGGCCCGGGGCAAAAAUAAAAAAAAAUGAUCCUUUAAAGACAAAUAUUAUAAAGAUUCAAAAAAAUAUCAUUUAUUUUUUAUUAUAAACGCAUUCAAUUAGCAAUAAAAAGCAAGCAAAAUUGUUUAUCUUUUGAGUUAGUUUGUGUUUGAACCAACUUUAGGCCUUAAAAAUCAUUUAGGUAAUAAUUUUUUUUAUAUAUAUACACUACAUAGCCCAUAAAUUUUGGGUCCACUGAGGACGUGGACCCUGGGCGGUCGCCCGGGUUGCCCACCGUCUGGACCGGUCCUGAUUUCACAUAUGAUUUCCAUCUUCUAGACAAAAAAAGCGCAAAUCGUUGUAACAAAUUUAGUUAUCAUAAUAUCCACUUGGGUUUUGUUUAUUGUGCAAUGUCAUUGAUCGAUGAAAUACUAAAACCAAAAAGAUUUUGUGUGAAUAUUUGCAGACACAAUAUGAUAUACCAAGUACAAAUUAUUUGGACCAAAUGUCUGUACCAUUAUGUGUGUUGGAAACAAGUCUGAUGACAUAAAUUUAUAAAUUUGAUAGUGUGAUUAGUGGUAUGUGAGUUAAAUGUUUAUUUUUAAUGCACAUAUUACUUGGUGACUAACAUAAUAACAUUGAAACUGAUUGAUGUGAACGUGUAUAACCAAAUAUGUGUAGAUUAUCUUGCGAUUAUAACAACAAAAUGUAUAAAAAAAAUAUAAAACAAAGUUUUUAUAAUUUUCUUUUAUAUUAAAACCCCAGAAAACCUUAUCUGUCAAAGCUACAUUUUAAAAAAUAUAACACAAGUGAAAUAACUUCCAAUGUACAAAACAUUCCAAUUUAUUGAAUAGAGAAGAAAAAGUUAAUCGGAUAAGUUAGAAUAAUGAAAAAGAAAUAACAUAAGUAGAUAUCCAUCUGGAUUUUGAUCAACACGAGUUAUUUUAUUUUCUUUAUACACAGAAAAAAGUAGAUGAAAACAUGUGGAAAUGGGGCCAGUCCACGUGAAGUACAUAUGUUUGGGUCGAAAUGUUGAAUACAUAAAAAAUAUAGAAUAUCGAUUUUAAACAAUGUUUUAAGAGAUUCAUUAGGCCGGAUGGUGUACAUGUAACCGUAUUGUAUUUUGGUUGGAACUGGACCUGAAACACUACAAAAUGCGGUAAAAAGUGCUGUUUAUGACGGUGCGGGUACCUCUCUCUCUAAUUGCAACGUGGCGAGAAAUCAUGAGGCGUGUUUUGAAGAUUAAUGAGUUGUAGAACAAUUUAAAAACCCAAAUGCAAAGUGGUCAAGUUGAUAAAAAAAUUUCUUCAAGAAGCGUAUCUUUUGUAUCGUGAUGACACGGGAAAGACAUUCAAGUUUAACGACCAUUAGAAAAUGUUAUUUACUAGUCCAAAAUGAAAGGAAAUCGAAGCAACUGUCAUACUUGGAGGAGAAGCAAGAAAAUGAACAAAAACGGGCUUAAGUGGAUAUACAAUUUCUUCUUAUACACAUGUCGGGUUAGAUUUGAAUAAUGACAAUGAACUCGAGCUAGAAGAAAUUGUUUGACUGACACGUAGUGACAAAGCAAAAAGGAAGGAGAAUGGAUAUUCUUUAAAUGCAUCGAAUUUCAACCAUGAAGUAUAGGAAAUGAGGAACAUGACGUCGACAUUUGAUCAAUACAAUUUGAAUUUUGCUGAACAUUUGACAAUUGAAAAAGAAAAUUUUGCCAAAAAAGCGUGUGAGGAAAAAAAAUGGAAGAUAUGUAAUUUUUGAUGCAAAGUGCUUUUCAGGACACAUCAUCAAACUUGUUUUGAGAAUAACAGAGAAGAUCACGAAAAAUAUAUCUCCUAAUCACGAAAAAUAUAUCUCCUAGAUUGUUAUGUUUGUUUGUUUUUUUUAAAAUUUUUUAUUAUGUAAUUUUUAAUUAUAUU